rnacentral:rRNA from 1 species
AUUGAACGCUGGCGGCAUGCUUUACACAUGCAAGUCGAACGGUAACAGGGAGCUUGCUCCGCUGACGAGUGGCGAACGGGUGUGUAAUGCGUCGGAACGUGCCGAGUAGUGGGGGAUAACGCAGCGAAAGUUGUGCUAAUACCGCAUACGUACUGAGGUAGAAAGUGGGGGACCUUCGGGCCUCACGCUAUUCGAGCGGCCGACGUCUGAUUAGCUAGUAGGUGAGGUAAAGGCUCACCUAGGCGACGAUCAGUAGCGGGUCUGAGAGGAUGAUCCGCCACACUGGGACUGAGACACGGCCCAGACUCCUACGGGAGGCAGCAGUGGGGAAUUUUGGACAAUGGGCGAAAGCCUGAUCCAGCCAUGCCGCGUGUCUGAAGAAGGCCUUCGGGUUGUAAAGCUCUUUCGCAAGGGAAGAAAACUUACCCUCUAACAUAGGGUGAGGCUGACGGUACCUUGAUAAGAAGCACCGGCUAACUACGUGCCAGCAGCCGCAGUAAAAC